GACGAACGCUGGCGGCGUGCCUAAUACAUGCAAGUAGGACGCACAGUUUAUACCGUAGCUUGCUACACCAUAGACUGUGAGUUGCGAACGGGUGAGUAACGCGUAGGUAACCUGCCUAUUAGAGGGGGAUAACUAUUGGAAACGAUAGCUAAUACCGCAUAACAGUAUGUAACACAUGUUAGAUGCUUGAAAGAUGCAAUUGCAUCGCUAGUAGAUGGACCUGCGUUGUAUUAGCUAGUAGGUAGGGUAAUGGCCUACCUAGGCGACGAUACAUAGCCGACCUGAGAGGGUGAUCGGCCACACUGGGACUGAGACACGGCCCAGACUCCUACGGGAGGCAGCAGUAGGGAAUCUUCGGCAAUGGGGGGAACCCUGACCGAGCAACGCCGCGUGAGUGAAGAAGGUUUUCGGAUCGUAAAGCUCUGUUGUUAAGGAAGAACGAGUGUGAGAAUGGAAAGUUCAUACUGGGACGG
rnacentral:rRNA from 1 species